UACAGAGGUGCCAAGCGUUAGGCGGAAUCACUGGGCUUAAAGCGCGUGUAGGUGGGUCGUUAAGUGUCCGCGUGAAAUCCCACGGCUCAACCGUGGAACUGCCGGGCAUACUGGCGAUCUUGAGGCAUUCAGGGGCGAGCGGAACAAAUGGUGGAGCGGUGAAAUGCGUAGAUAUCAGGAGGAAGACCGGUGGCGAAGGCGGCCUGCUGGGCAGUUACUGACACUGAGGCGCGACAGCGUGGGGAGCAAACAGG
rnacentral:rRNA from 1 species